rnacentral:tRNA from 1 species
GGUGGAGUUCCCGAGUGGUUAAAGGGAGCAGACUGUAAAUCUGUCGUCUAUUGACUUCGAAGGUUCGAAUCCUUCCUCCACCA